rnacentral:rRNA from 1 species
UACAGAGGGUGCGAGCGUUAAUCGGAAUUACUGGGCGUAAAGCGUGCGCAGGCGGUUCGUUGUGUCCGUCGUGAAAGCCCCGGGCUUAACCUGGGAACUGCGAUGGAAACUAGCGAGCUGGAGUGUGGCAGAGGGGGGUAGAAUUCCACGUGUAGCAGUGAAAUGCGUAGAUAUGUGGAGGAAUACCGAUGGCGAAGGCAGCCCCCUGGGAUAACACUGACGCUCAUGCACGAAAGCGUGGGGAGCAAACAGG